rnacentral:rRNA from 1 species
AACGAACGCUGGCGGCAGGCUUAACACAUGCAAGUCGAGCGCCCCGCAAGGGGAGCGGCAGACGGGUGAGUAACGCGUGGGAAUCUACCCAUCCCUACGGAACAACUCCGGGAAACUGGAGCUAAUACCGUAUACGUCCUCCGGGAGAAAGAUUUAUCGGGGAUGGAUGAGCCCGCGUUGGAUUAGCUAGUUGGUGGGGUAAAGGCCUACCAAGGCGACGAUCCAUAGCUGGUCUGAGAGGAUGAUCAGCCACACUGGGACUGAGACACGGCCCAGACUCCUACGGGAGGCAGCAGCGGGGAAUAUUGGACAAUGGGCGCAAGCCUGAUCCAGCCAUGCCGCGUGAGUGAUGAAGGCCCUAGGGUUGUAAAGCUCUUUCACCGGGGAAGAUAAUGACGGUACCCGGAGAAGAAGCCCCGGCUAACUUCAUGCCAGCAGCCGCAGUAACAC